rnacentral:rRNA from 1 species
GAUGAACGCUGGCGGCGUGCCUAAUACAUGCAAGUCGAGCGAACAGACGAGGAGCUUGCUCCUCUGACGUUAGCGGCGGACGGGUGAGUAACACGUGGAUAACCUACCUAUAAGACUGGGAUAACUUCGGGAAACCGGAGCUAAUACCGGAUAAUAUAUUGAACCGCGUGGUUCAAUAGUGAAAGACGGUUUUGCUGUCACUUAUAGAUGGAUCCGCGCCGCAUUAGCUAGUUGGUAAGGUAACGGCUUACCAAGGCAAUGAUGCGUAGCCGACCUGAGAGGGUGAUCGGCCACACUGGAACUGAGACACGGUCCAGACUCCUACGGGAGGCAGCAGUAGGGAAUCUUCCGCAAUGGGCGAAAGCCUGACGGAGCAACGCCGCGUGAGUGAUGAAGGUCUUCGGAUCGUAAAACUCUGUUAUUAGGGAAGAACAAAUGUGUAAGUAACUAUGCACGUCUUGACGGUACCUAAUCAGAAAGCCACGGCUAACUACGUG